rnacentral:lncRNA from 1 species
CAGGAGGGCAGCUCCCCAGCCCCUGCUGCUUUAGAAGCUGGAGGUCUGGGGGUUAUGCUGUCUGCCUGUGUUUUCCCUGGUGUGCAGACAAGCGGGAGCUGGGCUGUGCGCUGGGGCUCGGUGCCCACCUGUCCUGUAUGUGACGAGUGGUGCAGCGUGUGCUGCUUGACAAGCCUUGGCUGGCAGAAGGGCCCUAAGGUGCAGGGCUGGCGUCCCCUGGGUCGGUGAGGAAAGUGCAUGGAAAUAUCCUCUGCUGCAGCCAGAGCCUGUGCUAUGUCAGCUCUGAUGGCACUGGGAUGUGCAGAUUUGCUUCGUAAUUGUGCUCUGUGCAUGCUGGUUGCGCACAGAUGUGCUUGAGGAAAGGCCCCCAGAUCCACAAACCUGCCCACAGGUGGUGAGCAGGGCUGUCCUGAGGGAGGGGUGGAUGGAUGGAUGGACGGACAGACCCCCGGAGAAAGGAAGCAGCAGGUGGAGGGAAGGUAGGCAUAAGGAACCAAAGCCAGAGGAAGAAGUUGAGCAGAAGAUCUUCAAAAAAAAGUGGAAGAGGAGUUCUGCUCCCCACGGACGUUCACAGUGCCUUCUGAUUCAGAUGCUAGGCAGAACUGGCAUUUCU